rnacentral:rRNA from 1 species
CCUACGGGAGGCAGCAGUGAGGAAUAUUGGUCAAUGGGCGCGAGCCUGAACCAGCCAAGUAGCGUGAAGGAUGACUGCCCUACGGGUUGUAAACUUCUUUUAUAAGGAAUAAAGUGAGGCACGUGUGCCUUUUUGUAUGUACUUUAUGAAUAAGGAUCGGCUAACCCCGUGCUAGCAGCCGCGGUAAUACGGAGGAUCCGAGCGUUAUCCGGAUUUAUUGGGUUUAAAGGGAGCGUAGAUGGGUUGUUAAGUCAGUUGUGAAAGUUUGCGGCUCAACCGUAAAAUUGCAAUUGAUACUGGUAGCCUUGAGAGCAGUUGAGGUAGGCGGAAUUCGUGGUGUAGCGGUGAAAUGCUUAGAUAUCACGAAGAACUCCGAUUGCGAAGGCAGCCUACUAAGCUGCCACUGACGUUGAUGCUCGAAAGUGUGGGGAUCAAACAGGAUUAGAUACCCCUGUAGUC